UACGGAGGAUCCGAGCGUUAUCCGGAUUCACUGGGCUUAAAGGGUGCGUAGGUGGGCAGGUAAGUCAGCGGUGAAAUCCCCGAGCUUAACUUGGGAACUGCCAUUGAUACUAUCUGUCUUGAAUACCUUGGAGGUGAGCGGAAUAUGUCAUGUAGCGGUGAAAUGCUUAGAUAUGACAUAGAACACCAAUUGCGAAGGCAGCUCACUACACGGUCAUUGACACUGAGGCACGAAAGCGUGGGGAUCAAACAGG
rnacentral:rRNA from 1 species